rnacentral:rRNA from 1 species
GACAGAGGGUGCUAGCGUUGUUCGGAAUGACUGGGCGUAAAGGGCGCGUAGGCGGUUUUUCAAGUCAGAUGUGAAAGCCCCGGGCUUAACCUGGGAACUGCAUUUGAUACUGGAUGACUGGAGUACGAGAGAGGAAAGCGGAAUUCCUAGUGUAGAGGUGAAAUUCGUAGAUAUCUGGAGGAACACCGGUGGCGAAGGCGGCAUCCUGGACCGACACUGACGCUGAGGAGCGAAAGCCAGGGGAGCAAACGGG